rfam:Ixodes scapularis strain Wikel colony gcontig_1108379538253, whole genome shotgun sequence.
CCCAGGUUAGCUGAGUUGGUAGAGCGCUCCACUGGAAAUGAAGACGUCCCGGGUUCGAUACCCGGACCUGGCG